rnacentral:lncRNA from 1 species
CAAGACUGGGAGCUUAGAUUGUGGAUGAGGAAACCUAAGUUUGAUUUGAUCAUACCAAAUUUGAGAAGCCUGUAAGAAACCCAAAUGAAGAUGCGGACAAGGAUCUGUAAGUUUAAAGUCAGAGGAGAUGUCAGGUCUAGAGAUAUAAAUUUGGAAGUCAACAGCCUACUGAUGCUAUUUAAACUAGGGACUGGAUGAGAUCAUCAAAGAAGCACUGCCAUUCCUCAGCCCAUUCCAGACAGAGCAGAAGAGAGAAAAGAAGAAAUAAAGCAAAAGAAACAAGAGAGAGUAAAAGAAGCUCCCAUGGUUUUUCUCUGAGAAUUUCACUGGGGAUCUAAUUUUAAAGAAGGGGACAUGAAGAUUGAAGAAAGAACACAUAAUUUCAACCAUUUUGUUAAAUGAAAUUUGUUGGCUCUAUAAAAACGC